GAUGAACGCUGGCGGCGUGCCUAAUACAUGCAAGUCGAGCGAACAGACGAGGAGCUUGCUCCUCUGACGUUAGCGGCGGACGGGUGAGUAACACGUGGAUAACCUACCUAUAAGACUGGGAUAACUUCGGGAAACCGGAGCUAAUACCGGAUAAUAUAUUGAACCGCAUGGUUCAAUAGUGAAAGACGGUUUUGCUGUCACUUAUAGAUGGAUCCGCGCCGCAUUAGCUAGUUGGUAAGGUAACGGCUUGCCAAGGCAACGAUGCGUAGCCGACCUGAGAGGGUGAUCGGCCACACCGGAACUGAGACACGGUCCAGACUCCUACGGGAGGCAGCAGUAGGGAAUCUUCCGCAAUGGGCGAAAGCUUGACGGAGCAACGCCGCGUGAGUGAUGAAGGUCUUCGGAUCGUAAAACUCUGUUAUUAGGGAAGAACAAAUGUGUAAGUAACUAUGCACGUCUUGACGGUACCUAAUCAGAAAGCCACGGCUAACUACGUG
rnacentral:rRNA from 1 species